GGUCGUGUGGUCUAAAGGUUAUGACAUCUCGUUUACACUGAUACGUCUGCUCAUUUCAAUGUCCCGAGAAGGUUCCGUGUUCGAUCCACGGCGCGACUA